UAUAAACAAAAGACAUUCUUCUCAGAGAUGGCCUUAUUAAUCAGUUUAUUAUUCAAUGGGUCAGAAUUUGCAUUUUGAACAUAUCACUUUCUACCAUGCGUGCUGUUACUUAGUUGUGUGACUUACGUUGUCUACCAAAGUGAAAGCUUCUGAAGAUACCAUCACAGAGACCAGUACAGGGCCUCGCCCAACAUGGUCUCAGUAAAUAUCUCAAGAAUAAAUAAAGAGUGGGAAGAUGACACAGAGCGAGUCUGUUGAUAUCUACAAAAUAUGUUAUUUAACCUGGCAAUUCUCUAAUACCAACUUUUCUCCUGGGCUGGACACCAGCCUUUCCAAAUGGCUGAUUGAACUCUUCCCAUGAAUGAGCUGCCAGCGCCGUAUGGAAAAUGUUAUCUGUAGAAGGAACAAAAGUCAAACAUAUGAUGUGUCAACGAAUGACUUUCACUUUGAUUUUGAAAACACCACCAAGAGUUUGGAAUGGAAAGAUGCCGUGAAAGCAGCAUACAAGCCGGAGAGCCUACUGGAAGCAAGAGGGGAAAACCCAGCCAGGUAUGGGGGCUGCGGGGAGGAUGCCAGGUGGUGGAGACUGGAUUCAGGAUUUGAUGCUUGAACUGAACCUUCUUUUAAGAGAAACACAGCUGCACGGCACUGACAGAGAACUCGCAGAGUAAAAAGGAACCCACAAUAAACGAGCUGCUUUGCGCCAUGUUCACAAUUUCCUUGCAGGGUGGGGGCAGAGAUGGUGCGAGUAAACUGACCCAUUUGGAAGCCCACUUGGAAACUGGGUUCCUUUUUAAAAAAUAAAUUUAUUUCCAUAGGUUUUUGGGGAACAGGUGGUAUUCGGUUACAUGAGUAAGUUCUUCAGUUGUAAUUUGUGAGAUUUUGUGCACCCAUCACCCAAGAAGUAUACACUGAACUCAGUGUGUAGUUUUUUAUCCC
rnacentral:lncRNA from 1 species